rnacentral:rRNA from 1 species
CGGGAAUCUUCCGCAAUGGACGAAAGUCUGACGGAGCAACGCCGCGUGAACGAAGAAGGUUUUCGGAUCGUAAAGUUCUGUUGUUAGGGAAGAACCGCCGGGAUAACCUCCCGGUCUGACGGUACCUAACGAGAAAGCCCCGGCUAACUACGUGCCAGCAGCCGCGGUAAUACGUAGGGGGCAAGCGUUGUCCGGAAUUAUUGGGCGUAAAGCGCGCGCAGGCGGCUUCUUAAGUCAGGUGUGAAAGCCCACGGCUCAACCGUGGAGGGCCACUUGAAACUGGGAGGCUUGAGUGCAGGAGAGGAGAGCGGAAUUCCACGUGUAGCGGUGAAAUGCGUAGAGAUGUGGAGGAACACCUGUGGCGAAGGCGGCUCUCUGGCCUGUAACUGACGCUGAGGCGCGAAAGCGUGGGGAGCGAAC